GAUGCUAAAACUAUAUUUGAAAAAGUAAGUCUCCUUGCAUUCUCAUAUAUAUGCAUAUCUUGUGUUAGCAGAAAAACAAAAUGAAGUAUUACCUGUUAUCUAUUUAAUCUCUUGGCCCAUUGAAAAGAUUGUCUUGCUAUCUCAUCUUGUACCAAUAUCUAUAUUGUGGGAAAUGGGAAUGAUGUAUAAGAUUGCUUAGCGUGUGAAUAUGGUCCAUGAACUUUUUAGAAAUAUUCCAAUUCUAUUCUAGCUUAUUGAAUUGUCUGCGUUUUUUAUAUGGACUCUUUUACUUUAGGGACGUCUUGACUUGUUGGAUGAUGAAAAGUUCUAUUGUAUGUUCAAUGUGACAUUCUUGUUUUGCUUUUUUAUUCAAAGAAAUAUUCUCUAAUGUCUAUCCAGAUUGAAGUAGUAUGGAAUUUCAGGAAGGAGACCAAUUCAUAAGCUUCUGGAACUUGUUUUUCUUUUACUUGUAGCAAAAACUGUAGAAAAUUAUGAGUGGCUAUUAUACAGAAUUAAGGAAAUAUGGAGAAAGCAAUGCCAUUUGGAAAUGGGCUCCUUGCAUUUAGUUUUCAAAAUUUGAGUGAGUUUUCUCCUACAGCCCCCCAAUAUAUUCUUCAUAGAUUUCCAGUUUGAUCUUAUGUAUUUUCUUACUUCUAGUCUUAAUUCUUUAACUUCCAGGUAAAUUAUACUAAUGGUGAACUGAGUCUGAACUUUAUACUAGUUUUCAUCAUCUUCACAAAACUUUAAUUUGGGGCAAUUUGGUCACUGAACUAUAAAUUAGUUGUAAUUAGGCUAUAUCCAUUUGAUUCUGGCAAGAAACUUGCCAGAACUAGUCAGAAUCAGAUGUUGCAGACAAUUUAGCAUAUCAAAACACUGGAAGUGAGGUAUGGAUACAGGUCCAAAUCAAAGAAAUUUCAAUCUCUCUUUUCACUCUCUGUAAAAUGAUACAGGUUAAUCCCAAGAUUAACUUAUAUCUCUGUUUUAAAGAAAAACACAAGAAAAAGAAGGAAAAUACUGAAGAAGAUGAGAAAGAAUCUAGAGAGAAGGAAAGAGAUCUAUAACUGUUACAAUUCUCACUCUUCUUGCUAUUUAGCUACUUGUAAAGUUCUAGAUAGCUGACAUCAACUACUAAUCCUUUGAUGACCUAACUAAUUCUGUUUUGGUAGUUAUAACUAAUUUCCGGCUGUCUUUGCCUGCCUUAUUUCUCAAGUUACUAUUUCCCACACAUCAUAAAAUGUUAAUGACCCAAAUGUCACGAUAGAUUUCCUGCGAUUCUAUUUCAGAAAUCUUGAGAAAUUUGCAUAAAUGAAGCAAAAUUAUAGUUUAGUGACAAAUUUAGUUUUGUGACCAUGAUGAGAAUUGGUUUAAAAUUCAGUAGCCAUUAGAAUAAUUUACCCCUCAAAAUAAUCCUCCCUUUCCUUAAAUUCUGGUUCUUUGUUUAAGCUUUGCAGGUUGUCAAUGUGUGAGUGUAUUUUUCCCAAUGUCAAAUUUGUG
rnacentral:misc_RNA from 1 species